rnacentral:lncRNA from 1 species
GAUCUGUGCAGAUUCCCUCACUCUCUCAAAAAAAAAAAAAACCGUGCAGAUUCUGUCUCGGUCGCUCCUCUUCGCGUUCCAGGAAUCCGCCGCUUCUCGGGAAGGCGGGCGCGGCGGCGCUUCCAUGGCUCGGCCAGCGCCAGAUCUAACGGCGUCUUCCUAGGGAAGAGCAAGAGCACCGGCAGAUGCCUCGUGGUCGGCUAUAUCGGCCGUCUGCGGCGGCCUCGGGGCUCACCAGAUCUGGCGGUGGGCGGCGACAUCGAGCUGAACGACCUCCAUCGGCGCCAAGCAGACCCUGCCGUAUCGUCGGCGUCGAGCAGCUUCGCCAAACGACCUCCACUUCUGCGACCUCGGCGGCGGCUGCUCGUUCAUCCCCUGGUAUAUUUCUUUGCUCUUGGCAAGAACAAGAACACUCUUUGUUCUUGGCAUGAACAAGAUGAUCGUGCCUGCUGCAAUUGUAUAAACAGAGAAUUUGUUGGAUCUGUGGCUGCAGCGUCAUUGUUGGAUCCGUGGCCAGCAGCAGCGGCGCCCGUCUGCUGGUGUAGGAGAGCUCUGUCCAUCUGUCAAAGGAGCAGCAAGGAAGAAUUGGAAUGGAGUAUUGCUUCUGGUCACUGGAUGUCUGGAUUGGUUGAUUUGAGGUUCAAGAACUUCAGGCACAGGGAAAUAAACAAAUGGCAGCAGGAGUAUGUGUACAACAGUACAUGCAUUCAAGUGUACAGGCACAGCAGAAGGAAACUCUACAACAUCUACAGCACCUCCUCCACCUUCAUCCCCAGCAAUGUUGACUCCAGCCUCGUCAGCUAUGGCUUCGCCUCCUCGAAGUUCGUCACCGUCUUCAGGAGGAGGAGCGUUGAGGUCAAAGAGAUGAAUCGCCGCCAUGGAGCUUGA